UAAUGGACCACACACAUCUGAGUGUAUCACUUCAAGACGCUCAUUUGAUCUCAUUUCUAACUGUGCUUUGAAGGGUCUUCUUGUUUGCUUUGCAACAAUGCAAGACUCGCAUGAUUUCUCAGGCUUUGAAUUUCUUCCUUCCAUCACCAUAACCAUGCUGCACUCUCAGUGCCUGAUCAUCCAGUCUGACAGGUUCUUGGUCAUAGAGCUUCAUUUCGUGAGCCUUCAGAGAGCUCUGAAGCUCUUCAAUCUUUAAUUUCUCCAGAUCUUUUGAUUCCUCAAUAGCUACUACAAUGAAGUUAAAUCUCUUAGUAACUCAUUGUCGUCUCAAGUUAUGAAGUCGAACUUUCUUGAUCUUUUCACCACCAGCAUGGCAUCGACACAAAAUACUCCAUGCUUCCUUUGCCGUAUUUGCGUUUUGGAUCUUCUCAAAGUUUGCGUCGUCUACACACUGAUGAAUGAUAUUCAGUGUUUUGUCAUCCUUCCUUUGAAAUUCUUCUUUUUGUUCUUCCUUUGUAGGUUCUUCUCCAUCU